rnacentral:lncRNA from 1 species
CAGGUAGUGACAGAAGAAAAUGCCACAUAAAAAGUUAACAAUGUGCAUUUUUGUGUUACAAUUAUGAUUGCUUAUUUUUCUUCUUAAUUUCUUAAUUUAUUUCAGAUUGUGUGUUAGUUUUUUAAAUGACAUUUUAUUAUUUAAUUCUAGAAAUUAGAGAUUGUAAAUAAUUUUUUUAGAUUUUAUUGUUUCAAAAAAGUAGACAAGGAGUCAUACAUUUUCUGGGAAAAUAACAAUUUAGAAAAAUGUUGACAAUCUAUCUAAUCCUAGGGGAAUCUUUGCAAGUGAUUGUUGUUUUGAGAGUGGCUCUUUACUGAUAUUCACCUAAAAUAAAAUACUUUGAAACAGUAUCUCCAUCCAAGAAAAAAGCUUACAAAAAUAAACAGUUGAGUUAUCUUGGAAACAAGAAACACUUUUAAAAAGAUAAUUACAUUUUAUAAUAAAUUACUUUAAUAAUCCAAAUGGAAUCAUCCUCCUUAAAAAUGUUUUGUUAGUAGUAAUUAUUAAAAUCAUAAAUCAUUUUGUAAAAUUUGUACUUUUGGUACAAAAUGAGAAAGUAUUUAAAAAUUUAUUUCAAAAAAUUUAGCAAUAGUUUGUUAAAUUCAGAUAGUAUAUUUUUUCAUGCGCGUCCGUGUGAAGAGACCACCAAACAGGCUUUGUGUGAGCAAUAAAGCUGUUUAUUUCACCUGGGUGCAGGUGGGCUGAGUCUGAAAAGAGAGUCAGCAAAGGGUGGUGGAUCAUCAUUAGUUCUUAUAGGUUUUAGGAUAGGUGGUGAAGUUAAGAGCAAUGUUUUGCAGGCAGGGGUGGAUCUCACAAAGUACAUUCUCAAGGGUGGGGAGAAUUACAAAGUACCUUCUUAAGGGUGGGGGAGAUUACAAAGUACAUUGAUCAGUUAGGGUGGGGCAGGAACAAAUCACAGUGGUGGAAUGUCAUCAGUUAAGGCUAUUUUUACUUCUUUUGUGGAUCUUCAGUUACUUCAGACCAUCUGGAUGUAUACAUGCAAGUCACAGGAGAUGCGAUGGCUUGGCUUGGGCUCAGAGGCCUGACAUUCCUGCCUUCUUAUAUUAAUAAGAAAAAUAAAACAAAAUAGUGUUGAAGUGUUGGGGCGGCGAAAAUUUUGGGGGGUGGUAUGGAGAGAGAAUGGGCGAUGUUUCUCAGGGCUGCUUCAAGCGGGAUUAGGGGCGGUGUGGGAACCUAGAGUGGGAGAGAUUAAGCUGAAGGGAGAUCUUGUGGUAAGUGGUGAUAUUGUGGGGACGUUAGAAGAAACAUUUGUCAUAUAGAAUGAUCGGUGAUGGCCUGGAUAUGGUUUUGGAUGAAUUGAGAAACUAAAUGGAAGAUACAAGGUCUGAAAAAAAGAAGGAGAAAAAUGGGUAUUAAAGGACUAAGAAUUGGAAGGACCCAGGACAUCCAAUUAGAGAGUGGCCAAGGGGGUUCAGCAUAAUUACUUGCUUGGUUGGCAAGAUUUUGGGCUUUAUCCUUGAGUUUUUUUAUGUUGUCAUACACCAGGCCAGAUUGAUUUAGGUAAAAAUAAGACUCUUCAUUUAAGAAUAUACAGAGUCCUCCUUUUUCAGCAGUGAGUAAGUCAAGGCCUUGGCGGUUUUGGAGGACAACUGCAGCUGAAGAGUCAACUUGGGCCUGGAGGCCUGAUAAAGUUUGUGAUAUGUCUGUAAUGCUAGCAGAGAAGUCAUUAGACAGGAUACGGAAGGUCGUGACAGAGGUUGAAAUGCCUGCUAUUCCAGUACCGAGAGCAACAGUGGAGGCAGAAAGUCCUAAACCAACCAUCAAGGGAAUUAGUGGAAUAACUCUUUUUUGUCGUGUCGGUGUCAUGAGGGGAACAGGGAGCUCUUCAGUCCCAUUUGCAAAUUGAAUUUUGGAGGUAAGGAAAACUAGUGUGCAUGUGCCUGUCCAAUUAGCAGGUAGACACAUGUAGGUAGAGGAUCCACAGAGGAAGAAGAGACUUUGUACUAGGCAAAACUGGAGAUGUAAAGUAAAAAGGUGAGAAGGAGUGCUGAAAGGGGUGUCUUGUACCCAGACUCUUAGGGAUCCACCUAGGGGGGCAGCAGUCAGAGGUUGUAAUGGGGACUGAUGGGGUAACUGCGUAGAGGGGGAGGUUCGAUUUUCAUGGUAUAUGAGAAAACGUUGAGCAUCUACGAGCAAACUUUCACUGUUAUUUUUGGGGCUGGGUAUAAGUAAACAAGAAGAGGGUCUGGGAGGAGAGUCUGAUGAGCAAGGGGAAAAUAGCCAAGGAUGGAGUGAAAUACAGGACAAGUGUCUUCCUAAGCAAUAAUUACUGCUAACGUUUUUAAGUUUGUCAGUAUUGAUAGAGGGCUUGUCUGUAAUAUGGAGCUGGAAGGCUCCAUUUGUUUCAGUGAUGUGUGUAGUUGGGCUUCGGAGAUGAAGAGUAAAGGAACAUCGAGAAGGUGAAAGAUUACCUAGGGGAAUUCCAGUGGGUCUUUGCCGAGAGAUACAUAAAGGAGCGGCCACAGGAAUAGUAGUUUGUGUUGUGAGCGGUCCAAAUGUGGGGGGAGUAGAGUUAAUAUAAGGAGAAAGGUUUUUUAAAUAAGUGCAGAGGAGGGCGGCAGCUUGCUGAUGUGAAAUGUCUGGGGAAGUCUUGCUGGACCUGUCUAGAAAGUAAAUGAGUUUUUCAGGAGGGUAAAGGUGAGGGCUGUUAAAGGAAGUUCGGAGGUGUGGGGAGACAGGAGAUGUUGCCCAGUCUGUCUGUAAGGCAGGGACAGCUGGGUAGGCACUGGAAGGAAGGGAAAUGCAAAGCCAGCAGUUUUUCACUAAGGAGGGAUUAGAAACGGCUAGGAGAGAAUGGGUAAGGUUGAUAGUGUGGUGGAGAUAGCUGGGGAGAGGUAAAGGGUGGCAUAAGAUUGGGAAUGAGAAUAAGAGUGAGUAUAAAAGUAAAGAAUAGAACUUCAUCAGGGUGGAAGUAUUGGAGGAUGCCCUGCCAGCAAAGAUCAUCUAUCCACUCUAAGAGGGAGUUAAGAGUGGCAGUUUCGGGAUAGCACCAAGAGAUAUCAGCUGUGAUGGCUUGAAGAAACAGUGUAAACUGGUGGUGUAAACAAGAGUAGGGCAUUUAUAAGUAGUUGAUAAUGGAGAAUAGGAGUAUGACCAGACAGAAGAUAGUAGGGAUGACUCGUUUUUGGGGGCACAGUCUAAGUUAGUCUGCUCUCUGGAAUGAGACUGGGGCCUAAUAAAAAGGAGCAUCUAUACAGGAGCUCAAAUGGGCUGUACCCUGUAGCAUUCUGAGGACAGGUCUGACUUCUGAGAAAGGAAAGUGGUAAAAGUAUUGUCUAGUCCUUUUUAAGUUGGUGGCUGAGCUUGGUGAGGUGUGUUUUUAAAAGACCGUUAGUCUGUUCUACUUUUCCUGAAGACUGAGGACUGUAAGGGAUAUAAAGGUUUCACUAAAUAUUAAGAGCCUGAAAAACUGCUUGGCUGAUUUGACUAAUAAAGGCUGGUCAGUUAUCAGACUGUAUAGAGGUGGGAAGGCUAAACUGAGGGAUUAUGUCUGACAGAAGGGAAGAAAUGACUGUGGUGGCCUUCUCAGACCCUGUAGGAAAGGCCUCUACCUAUCCAGUGAAAGUGUCUACCUAGACUAAGAGGUAUUUUAGUUAUCUGACUCGGGGCAUGUUGAGUAAAGCUAAUUUGCCAGUCCUGGGUGGGGGCAAAUUCUUGAGCUUGAUGUGUAGGGAAGGGAGGGGGGCCUGAAUAAUCCUUGAGGAGUAGUAGAAUAGCAGAUGGAACACUGAGAAGUUAUUUCCUUGAGGAUAGAUUUCCACGAUGGAAAGGAAAUGAGAGGUUUUAAGAGGCGGGCUAGUGAUCUGUACUAUAGCAUAGCCUGCCUUUGCUGGUGUGUGGUGAUUAGGCCUGGUGGAACCGCCAUUAAUAAAUCAAGCAUGAUCAGGGUGAGGAACAGGAAAGAAGGAAAUAUGGGGAAAUGAGGUGAAUGUCAGGUGGAUCAGAGAGAUACAGUCAUGAGGGUCAGGUGUGGUUUCCAGAAUAAUGUGGGAGACCGGAUUGAAGUCCCGGUCAGGAACAAUGGUAAUUGUGGGACUUAACAAAGAGUGAGUACAGCUGAAGGAGCCGGGGAGCAGAAAGUAUAUGCAUCAGGUAUGAGGAAGAAAAUAGAUUUUGGAAGUUAUGAGAAAUGUAGAGAGUAAGUUGAGCAUAGUUUGUGAUUUUGAGGGCCUCUAAAAGUAUUAGGGUGGCAGCAGCCGCUGCAGGGAGACAUGAUGGCUAGGCUAAAACAGUAAGGUCAAGUUGUUUGGACAGAAAGGCUAUAGGGUGUGGUCCUGGCUCUUUUGUAAGAAUUCUGACUGCACUAUGCCUAGGAAGGGAAGGAGUUGUUGUUUUGUAAGGGAUUGAGGUUUGGGAGAUUAAUCGGACACAAUCAGCAGGGAAAGCACAUGUGUUUUUAUGAGAAUUGUGCCGAGAUAGGUAACAGAUGAGGAUGAAAUUUGAGCUUGACUGAAGUAAUGGGGGCUGUCUAUGAAGACUUGCGGCAGUACAGCCCAGAUCUCUAGAACUUUUUCAUCGAGCAUUAUCAAAACUUGACACCCUCUGAAGAACUGCCGUUUUCCCUAAGCUCCAGGCAGCCAUUCAUCUUUGGAAAGGUCCCUGCUUCCUCUGAGUCUUCUACAGAUACAGCAAGAACCCAUUGGACGAGGUGACCCAUGGCUUUCUCCUAUAACUGGAGUAUCUUCUGGCCAGGCCCAUGGAGGAAUACUCCCUAAUAACCAAAUUCUGAGGCAUUCAUUCAUUAUCUUUAAAGCAGUGCUUCCCAAACUGUAACAUGUGACUUCACAACUCUUCAUAUCAAAAGAUGGAGUUCAUUUCCAACCUCUUUUAAUUCAGACUGGCCUUGGGACUUCUUUUGAGCAACAAAAUAUGGCAGGAAUAAUGUUGUGAUCUCUGAGCUGGAAUGGAGAUGAUUCCCAAAAAACCUUAGAAGGCAUUACUGAAGAUAGAAAAACCUCCCAGAGCCUGAUUUCUGAAUGAUUGUCCAUUUGGCAUAGUCACCAGGUGUGGAUGAAACGAGGCUUCACCCCUGAGUCUGCAACCUUAGACAAGUUUCUCCACAAUGCUACUCUGAGAUCAAGAUCUCAACUGUACAUCCUGGAGACAACACAACAACACAAGGGAAUAAAAUCUUAUACAACUGUCAGAGGUAUUGUGGAGUUCAAAUUAGAUGAUAUACAAUGACACCAAGGAAAAUACAUUGUGAAAUUUGACGAGAUUCUGAACUCAAAAAGAGAUGCUGCUCUAUUCAUUUCAAAACAACUCAUAAUAAAAGUGUUCCGCCGGGCGCGGUCGCUUAUGCCUGUAAUUCCAACACUUUGGGAGGCCGAGGCGGGCGGAUCACGAGGUCAGGAGACCGAGACCAUCCUGGCUAACGCGGUAAAACCCCGUCUCUACUAAAAAAAUACAAAAAAAUUAGUGGGGCGUGGUGGCAGGAGCCUGUAGUCCCAGCUGAGGCUGAGGCAGGAGAAUGGCGUGAACCCGGGAGGCGGAGCUUGCAGUGAGCCGAGAUCGCGCCACUGCACUCCAGCCUGGUCGACAGGGCGAGACUCCGUCUCAAAAAAAAAAAAAAAAAAAAAAAACAGUUUUCCAACUUAGCGUUUCCGGCAUUAACUAAUCACACCUCAAUCUCACUUUUAUUUUUGCUCUUCUUGUUUUUUUCAACUGGCACCUGGAGCAGGUCAGUCACAUUCCUCAUUUUUCAGGGACACCUUCGAUGCCAGAUUCUUUUUGCCUUCCGGUAAGAUUUUUUUUUUAGUAUCUUGGCCAUUUAGGGGGAGGGAGGAUAAGAAAUAAAGGGACAGUAUUAGAGCGUUAAUAAAUUGUUUUUUGUAAAUACGUUUUAGGAUGUUCACAUGUAGUGCUUCUUCAAGAUUUCUAAAAGUAUCUACGUUAUGGCUUCACUCUAUCAUUGUAAGCCUUACUAGGAUUCCUGAAUUUUGACAUAUAUUUAUUUUUUCUUCUGACUCAAGCUUUGAAUGACAAGAAUACUGUCAUGUUUUCUAUAUUUUCCACAAGAUAGAUAGAAUAAAAUACCCAUCAACUCUCUUUACACAUAGACUUUUUAAUAAAUUGUUUAAACUAUUCACAUCUCCAAUGGCUAAUUUGGGAUGAUACAGAAAUGCACAUGUUUUUAAAUAUAUAUCAAGAGCAUAUUAAACAAUUCCACAGCACAGAUGAAUAAUAUUGUUACCAGUGAAAUUCAUGCUGUAUCCUAAAACAAAUAGCCAAUAUUUGACAUAAUAAAGCAAAUAUCCUUUUACCUUUACUAUCAGUUUGGGGGCUGUUAAAUUAUUGGGGAAGUGGCAGGUAAAAUUUUCUUUUUAUCUUUUCUGAAAAUAAAAUAAUUUGGUAAUGUUCCAGGUCAGUAUACAAAGAGUUUUCUAAUUUAUGUAUAAAUUUUUAAAAUAAAGUAUAAUAGAGCAAAAAGCUCACUAGCAUUUAGAACUGUCCUGAUAACAGAAUGACAGGGCCUGGGCUUGAAUUUUGUGUAAAAAGAUUGUAGGUGCCAAAUCAUCUCCAUUUCUCAUAUCAUGAUUAAUUCUCCAGAGAAUUAUAGCAGGUACACAAAUUAGAAGAGCUCUUUGAAUCUUACUUUCAAAUUUGAAAAAGAAAAUGUGUAUUGUUUUGCAACAUAGCUUUUGAAUUAAUGUUUUUAAUUUAUAUUAUUAUUCUGACCUAAUAUUUAGGUAUUAUAUAUUUGAAAUAAAAAGAGAGGCCACCAUCAUAUUAAGCAUGACAUGAAGUACCUGGCAUAUUCUGAGUUAUGUGUACAGGUAAUUAGUUCUAACUCAAGGUAAUGUUCUCAUAAAUAGGGAACAAAUAUUACCAAAUUCAUUAAUUAGUCAUGCUUAUACUUCUGUCAUUUGGAAUAAUGUGUUUGCUUGAACUAAGGUUUCCUAUUUAUUAGAGUCAUUAAUGACUGUCAGUAAGAUACAGUGCUCUAACAUUUCACCAAUAUUUGAGAAACGCACAGGUAUUGCAUUUUUUUAACAGGGGACUAGUCUCAUUUUAUAUCUGUAUGGAAUGACAACCACAGUAUUAAAUUCCCUUGGCCUAUUUCUGCUACUUUCCUUUAUUUCAUUCAUCCUACUGUUUCCUUUAUUUCAUUCAUCCUCUACCAUUUUUAUUCUUAUAACACGUAUAUCAUUGUAUCAUAAUUACUUGUUUGCAUUUCUGCCUUCCUCCACUAAAGCACAUGAAUCAUUCUGCUUCUCAUAAGCAUCCUCAUUUAUUGUUUAAUGAAUUUAAACAUUCACUUAUACACAUAUAUUUCAAUAAAACUUUCAAAUAAACUAUUUUAACUAAAUUAAAAUAUUUUAGCUGUUAAUAUACGUAUGCAAUCAUUCUUCUGUGAAUAUAUGCAACAUACAUUACUUUGCAUUAUAUAUCUAAACACAAACACAAGGACUAUUGUAUUAGUCCUUUUUCAUGCUACUGAUAUAGACAUACCCAAGACUGGGUAAUUUAUAAAGAAAAAGAGGUUUAAAGGAAUCACAGUUCCAUGUGGCUGGGGAGGCCUCACAAUCAUGUUGGAAGGUGAAAGGCACAUCUUACAUGGCAGCAGCCAAGAGAGAAUGAAAGCCAACUGAAAAGGGAACAAGAAUAAAAAUAUAUAUCCAUGCUAAUGGGAGGUUGCUUAUAAGACAAUGUCUGACAUAUAUGAUUUAUUACAAGUUAUUGAUUCCAAUAUUUUUAAAAAUCUACCACAACACAUUAUCAACAAAAUAAAAUCACACAAAAUCCUGUUAAAUAUUUUGUUAUGAUAUUUUAUGCAACUUUUUAAAGCAUAUAUUAUUUCACCUAACUAAAAUGUAUAUGAAUAAUAUUUCUACAUUUUCAUAAUGAACUAAGGCAGCAUUUCCCAAAGAGUGUUUCAGAAAAUACGUCUUUAGAGAUGUUCUUUUUUUUUUUAUUAUACUUUAAGUUUUAGGGUACAUAAAAAUGAAUUAAUGUUAUAUAGAUUAAAAAUAAGCAUAUGAAAAUGUUCUCAACAACAUAAGUCAUCAGGGAAUUGCAAAUUAAAACAACGAGAUACCACUACGUACAUAUUAGAAUGAAUAUAAUAAAAAAAAACUAAAUUCAAAUUGCUGACAAAGAUGCAGAACAAGAAUUCUCACUCAUGCUGGUGAGAAUAUAAAAUGGCACAGCCACUUUGGAAGACCACUUGGCUAUUUCAUACAAAAACAACACUUUUCCUAUACAACGUAGCGAUCAUGCUACUAGAUAUUCAUCCAGCCAAAUUGGGAAUGUAUGACCACAUAAAAACCUAUAUGUUAAUGUUUAUAGUGACUUUAUUCAUAGUCAGCAAAAAUGGGAAACAAUCAAAAUGUCUUUCCAUAGAUGAACAGGUAAACUUGACACAUUCAUAUAAUGGAAUAUUAUUCAGCAAUUUAAAAAAUGAGCUCUCAAGCCAUGAAAAGGCAU